UGUGUGUUCCGGGUUGUUCUACAGCUUAAGUAGCCCGAAGUCAAGUUAAGCAAUUUCCCGCGAAACUGCGAUGUGCUCAUAAAUCAGUUAUCGUUUAUUCGAUAGUACUCUACUAUUUGGAUAACCGUGGUAAUUCUAGAGCUAAUACAUGCUAAAAAUCCCGACUCACGGAGGGAUGUAUUUAUUAGAUUAAAAACCAAUGCCCUUCGGGGUUCUUGGUGAUUCAUAAUAACUUCUCGAAUCGCAUGGCCUUGUGCCGGCGAUGGUUCAUUCAAAUUUCUGCCCUAUCAACUUUCGAUGGCAGGGUCUUGGCCUGCCAUGGUUACAACGGGUAACGGAGGGUUAGGGCUCGACCCCGGAGAAGGAGCCUGAGAAACGGCUACUACAUCCAAGGAAGGCAGCAGGCGCGCAAAUUACCCAAUCCCGAUUCGGGGAGGUAGUGACAAUAAAUACUGAUACAGGGCUCUUUUGGGUCUUGUAAUUGGAAUGAGUACAAUUUAAAUCCCUUAACGAGGAACAAUUGGAGGGCAAGUCUGGUGCCAGCAGCCGCGGUAAUUCCAGCUCCAAUAGCGUAUAUUAAAGUUGUUGCAGUUAAAAAGCUCGUAGUUGAACCUUGGGCCUGGCUGGCCGGUCCGCCUCACCGCGUGCACUGGUUCGGCCGGGCCUUUCCCUCUGGGGAUCCUCAUGCCCUUUACUGGGUGUGUUGGGGAACCAGGACUUUUACUGUGAAAAAAUUAGAGUGUUCAAAGCAGGCCUAUGCUCGAAUACAUUAGCAUGGAAUAAUGAAAUAGGACGUGCGGUUCUAUUUUGUUGGUUUCUAGGACCGCCGUAAUGAUUAAUAGGGACAGUCGGGGGCAUCAGUAUUCAAUUGUCAGAGGUGAAAUUCUUGGAUUUAUUGAAGACUAACUACUGCGAAAGCAUUUGCCAAGGAUGUUUUCAUUAAUCAGGAACGAAAGUUAGGGGAUCGAAGACGAUCAGAUACCGUCGUAGUCUUAACCAUAAACUAUGCCGACUAGGGAUCGGACGAUGUUAUUUUUUGACUCGUUCGGCACCUUACGAGAAAUCCAAAGU
rnacentral:rRNA from 1 species